UACGUAGGGGGCAAGCGUUGUCCGGAAUCAUUGGGCGUAAAGAGCGUGUAGGCGGUUUGGUAAGUCCGCUGUGAAAGUCCAGGGCUCAACCCUGGAAAGCCGGUGGAUACUGCCAAACUCGAGUGCGGGAAAGGCGAGUGGAAUUCCUGGUGUAGCGGUGAAAUGCGCAGAUAUCAGGAGGAACACCAAUUGCGAAGGCAGCUCGCUGGAACGUAACUGACGCUGAGGAGCGAAAGCGUGGGGAGCGAACAGG
rnacentral:rRNA from 1 species